CCCUUAGAUGUUCUGGGCCGCACGCGCGCUACACUGAUGCAUUCAACGAGUUUUUCCUUGGCCGAGAGGCCUGGGCAAUCUUUUAAACGUGCAUCGUGAUAGGGAUAGAUUAUUGCAAUUAUUAAUCUUGAACGAGGAAUUCCUAGUAAACGCAGAUCAUCAAUCUGCAUUGAUUACGUCCCUGCCCUUUGUACACACCGCCCGUCGCUCCUACCGAUUGAGUGGUCCGGUGAGGCUUUGGGAUCUGAGCGGAAAGAGCGUUUCGCUGUUUCUGCUCGGAAAACUCAGUCGAACCUUAUCAUUUAGAGGAAGGAGAAGUCGUAACA
rnacentral:rRNA from 1 species